rnacentral:rRNA from 1 species
GAUGAACGCUGGCGGCGUGCCUAAUACAUGCAAGUCGAGCGAACAGAUAAGGAGCUUGCCCCUUUGACGUUAGCGGCGGACGGGUGAGUAACACGUGGGUAACCUACCUAUAAGACUGGGAUAACUUCGGGAAACCGGAGCUAAUACCGGAUAAUAUUUCGAACCGCAUGGUUCGAUAGUGAAAGAUGGUUUUGCUAUCACUUAUAGAUGGACCCGCGCCGUAUUAGCUAGUUGGUAAGGUAACGGCUUACCAAGGCGACGAUACGUAGCCGACCUGAGAGGGUGAUCGGCCACACUGGAACUGAGACACGGUCCAGACCCCUACGGGAGGCAGCAGUAGGGAAUCUUCCGCAAUGGGCGAAAGCCUGACGGAGCAACGCCGCGUGAGUGAUGAAGGUCUUCGGAUCGUAAAACUCUGUUAUUAGGGAAGAACAUACGUGUAAGUAACUGUGCACGUCUUGACGGUACCUAAUCAGAAAGCCACGGCUAACUACGUG